UACGUAGGAGGCGAGCGUUGUCCGGAAUUACUGGGCGUAAAGAGCGCGUAGGCGGCGCUGUACGACCCGUGUGAAAGCCCCCGGCUCAACUGGGGAGGGUCACGGGUAACGGCAGUGCUCUGAGUGCAGGAGAGGGAAGUGGAACUCCGGGAGUAGCGGUGAAAUGCGUAGAGACCCGGAGGAACACCAGUGGCGAAGGCGGCUUCCUGGUCUGCGACUGACGCUGUGGCGCGAAAGCUAGGGGAGCAAACGGG
rnacentral:rRNA from 1 species